GCGUGGGUCGGCCCGCUGCACCGGAUCCAGCGGGCCGGGGGGACCCCGUCGCCUCAUUCCCCGCGGGCGGCGGGACGGUCCGGGAGGCGCUGAUCGUCUCCCGGGCCGCA
rnacentral:ncRNA from 1 species